rnacentral:misc_RNA from 1 species
UGGCUCUAGCAUCGAUGAAGAACGCAGCGAAAUGCGAUAAGUAAUGUGAAUUGCAGAAUCCAGUGAAUCAUCGAAUCUUUGAACGCACAUUGCGCCCGCCGGCAUUCUGGCGGGCAUGCCUGUCCGAGCGUCAUUCCAACCCUCAGGCCCCGCCUGGUGUUGGCGCGCCACGGUUCUCCCGUGGGCGCCCAAAGUCAGUGGCAGGCUCGCUAUACUCCGGGCGUAGUAGCACACGUCGCCGGGGGUUCUUAGCGCGCACUAGCCGUCAAAAAACCACUAUUUCAUCAGUUGACCUCGGAUCAGGUAGGAAUACCCGCUGA